rnacentral:lncRNA from 1 species
GGGAGAAGGAGAGGCAAGGAAAGAGGGAGGGAAGAAAGGAAGAAAAGAAGGAGGGAGAGAGGGAGGAAGGAAGAAGGUGCAAAAAGAAGCUAGCAGGAAUCUGAUUUAAUUUCUUGCUGCAAAGGAGGUUAUCAUCUAAUACACCUAUUCUAUUCCAGGCACUUUUCUAGGUAAAACAGAUGUGAAUCUAGCUUCAUGGAGCCAUGAAAAUACAGAUUAGGUAUACAAAUAAACUAACAAAUAAAUCUACAUUACAAACUUUGAUUACUGCUAUGGAAGAAAAAUACAGAGUGCUCUAAGAGAGAAUAACAAUAGGAACUGUAUUUAAAUUGAAGGACUAUAAGAGGAGUCUGAGGAUAUGAAAAAUAGAGCUGAUGCCCAAAGAUGAGAAAAAAUUAAUUAAUGAGGACAAAUAAGGUAAAACCAUUCCCAAUAGAAAAAAAAUGGAAUCUACAAAGAAAAGAACAUGGCACCCUUGAUGAGCUGAGAUAAGGCCAACAUAACUAAAAGAGAAUGAGCCAGUGGCAUGAGAUCAGUCUGCAGAGACAGUCAUGGGCCAGCUUAUGUAAUGUCUUUUUGGAUAAUGUUAAGCAUUUGAUUCUGUCAUCAUUCUUAGUUCAACAGAAAGCCACUGACGGCUUUCUUCAAGCAAGAAAAUGAGCUUAUCUGAUUUACAUUUUUUAAGUCACUAAGGUUGCUAGGGGAACUGAUUAAGUAUCUGCUAAUGUAGGAGAGAUGACAAAUUAUACAAUGGUGAUAGCCACACAAGAAAAAAGAAGUAGAAAGAUUCUAAGUACACUCUGAAGAUGAUACUGGUAGCAAAGGUGUUAGAUUAGAUUAGAUGGGGGGAUGAAGGACUGGCUAGUGUCAGCAAUAAUUUUCAGGUAUCUCCCUUUGGCAAAAGGAUGGAUUACUGAGGCAAUCAAGUCUAAGGUAGAAAGGGUUAGGGAAGAAAAAUGAGAAGCUAUCAGAGUUUUGUUUUGGAAAUGUUUGAUUUAAAAUGCCUGAAGGCUAUCCUACUGAAGCUGUCAAGUAAGCAGCAGGGUAUACAAAUCUGAAGUGCAGAGGAGAACUGGGCUACAGAUGCCAGUUUAGGACUUCUUGGGAUCUGAAAGGUAUUGAAAAUCUGAAAAUACUCAUAUUUUAUACAUUAAGAAGUAUGGAAUAUAUUGAUGUUGAUAGCAUCCCAAAGCCACAGAGCACACAUUUAAUUUGCUCCUAGUAACACCUAUGAGUAGGUAUUGAAAUUACUUUUAAUGAUGAAAAAUUAGUAAAAUAUUUCCUUGUAUUUUACUAUAGUAUACUCCCAUGUCAUCUAUAAUAACUGAGAACCAUCUCUAUCAAAAGAUAUGUUUUUAAAAGCUUAUCUAACAAAUUAUUAAAGGAACUAAAAUUUUACAACUUUUUCCCCUAGAUACACUAUACCUUUCCUCCACUGAUUCUCCGUAACUAAUCUGCCUGCAAAAUGGGUGAUUAGUAAAAACAUUUACUGAGUGUAUAAAGUACAUGUAGGGGUAUACAGAAACGGGAAGUAGCUCACCCAUUCUCCACUAAGUUAUUUCAACUUUCCUCUCUGGAGGGCCCAUAAAAGAAUAUGGCAGCAAUGUAGUAUCAAACUACCACAGAUGCUAGAGUUCCACUUGCUAUAAAACCUCACUUAGUUUUUCUAAUCUGAUUCUAAUCUAUAAAAUUUGGAUAAUACUAUACCUUUUGAGUUGUGAAGUUUAACAGAUAAUUAAAAUAUAUAUUUAUCCCAAUAAAAAAAA